GUCGAGCGAACAGACGAGGAGCUUGCUCCUCUGACGUUAGCGGCGGACGGGUGAGUAACACGUGGAUGACCUACCUAUAAGACUGGGAUAACUUCGGGAAACCGGAGCUAAUACCGGAUAAUAUAUUGAACCGCAUGGUUCAAUAGUGAAAGACGGUUUUGCUGUCACUUAUAGAUGGAUCCGCGCCGCAUUAGCUAGUUGGUAAGGUAACGGCUUACCAAGGCAACGAUGCGUAGCCGACCUGAGAGGGUGAUCGGCCACACUGGAACUGAGACACGGUCCAGACUCCUACGGGAGGCAGCAGUAGGGAAUCUUCCGCAAUGGGCGAAAGCCUGACGGAGCAACGCCGCGUGAGUGAUGAAGGUCUUCGGAUCGUAAAACUCUGUUAUUAGGGAAGAACAAAUGUGUAAGUAACUAUGCACGUCUUGACGGUACCUAAUCAGAAAGCCACGGCUAACUACGUGCCAGCAGCCGCGGUAAUACGUAGGUGGCAAGCGUUAUCCGGAAUUAUUGGGCGUAAAGCGCGCGUAGGCGGUUUUUUAAGUCUGAUGUGAAAGCCCACGGCUCAACCGUGGAGGGUCAUUGGGAACUGGAAAACUUGAGUGCAGAAGAGGAAAGUGGAAUUCCAUGUGUAGCGGUGAAAUGCGCAGAGAUAUGGAGGAACACCAGUGGCGAAGGCGACUUUCUGGUCUGUAACUGACGCUGAUGUGCGAAAGCGUGGGGA
rnacentral:rRNA from 1 species